CCUACGGGGGGCAGCAGUGAGGAAUAUUGGUCAAUGGGCGGAAGCCUGAACCAGCCAAGUCGCGUGAGGGAAUAAGGCCCUACGGGUCGUAAACCUCUUUUGCCGGGGAGCAAGGGCCGGGACGCGUCCCGGCCCGGAGAGUACCCGGAGAAAAAGCAUCGGCUAACUCCGGGCCAGCAGCCGCGGUAAUACGGAGGAUGCGAGCGUUAUCCGGAUUUAUUGGGGUUAAAGGGUGCGUAGGCGGGCUUUUCAGUCAGCGGUAAAAAUUCGGGGCUCAACCCCGUCCGGCCGUUGAAACUGGGGGCCUUGAGUGGGCGAGAAGAAGGCGGAAUGCGUGGUGUAGCGGUGAAAUGCAUAGAUAUUGCGCAGAACUCCGAUUGCGAAGGCAGCAUACCGGCGGCGAUCUGACGCUGAGGCACGAAAGCGUGGGUAUCGAACAGGAUUAGGUACCCCUGUAGUC
rnacentral:rRNA from 1 species